UACGGGGGGAGCAAGCGUUGUUCGGAUUUACUGGGCGUAAAGGGCGCGUAGGCGGCCACCGCAAGUCGACUGUGAAAUCUCCGGGCUUAACCCGGAAAGGUCAGCCGAUACUGCGGGGCUAGAGUGCAGAAGGGGCAACUGGAAUUCUCGGUGUAGCGGUGAAAUGCGUAGAUAUCGGGGAGGAACACCUGAGGCGAAGGCGGGCUACUGGGCCGAUACUGACGCUGAGGCGCGAAAGCCAGGGGAGCAAAGCGGG
rnacentral:rRNA from 1 species